rnacentral:rRNA from 1 species
AUUGAACGCUGGCGGCACGCCUAACACAUGCAAGUCGAGCGGCAGCGAGACUAGUAGCAAUACUAGUUGUCAGCGAGCGGCGGACGGGUGAGUAACACGUAGGAAUCUGCCCUUAAGCGGGGGAUAACCAAGGGAAACUUUGGCUAAUACCGCAUAAUCUCGAGAGAGCAAAGCUGCCCGCAAGGGUGGCACUUGAGGAGGAGCCUGCGUCCGAUUAGCUAGUUGGUGGGGUAAUGGCCUACCAAGGCGAUGAUCGGUAACUGGUCUGAGAGGACGACAAGUCACACUGGGACUGGGACACGGCCCAGACUCCUACGGGAGGCAGCAGUGGGGAAUAUUGGACAAUGGGGGCAACCCUGAUCCAGCGAUGCCGCGUGAGUGAAGAAGGCCUUCGGGUCGUAAAGCUCUUUAGGUUGGGAAGAAGGGUAUUGGCUGAAUAAUCCAGUACUUUGACGGUACCGACAGAAUAAGCACCGGCAAACUCUGUGCCAGCCGCCGCUGUAAGAC